GGGCUCAUGGCGUAACGGUAGCGCGCUUCGUUUGCAACGAAGAGGUUGGGAGUUCGAUUCUCCCUGGGUCCA
rnacentral:tRNA from 1 species